rnacentral:rRNA from 1 species
AUUGAACGCUGGCGGCGGGCCUAACACAUGCAAGUCGAGCGAGCGGCGGACGGGUGAGUAAUGUAUGGGGACUGCCCGAUAGAGGGGGAUAACUACUGGAAACGGUGGCUAAUACCGCAUACUAUCGGAUAACCCAUAUGGGAUUAGCUAGUAGGUGGGGUAAAGGCUCACCUAGGCGACGAUCUCUAGCUGGUCUGCGAGGAUGAUCGACCACACUGGGACUGAGACACGGCCCAUACUCCUACGGAAGCAGCAGUGGGGAAUAUUGCACAAUGGGCGCAAGCCUGUUGAAGCCAUGCCGCGUGUAUGAAGAAGGCCUUAGGAUUGUAAAGAACUUUCGGCAGAAAGGCGUUGCCCGCUGAGGAAGCACCGGCUAACUCCGUGCCAACAGCCGCGGUAGUAC